UCCUUUAAGUAGCAAUUUAAUGUUUACAAAUUACUUACAUACUCAUUCUGCAAUUGGAUUCUUAUCAGAAUUUAUUUGGCAAGGUAAGGCAUGUUAUUUUUCUCAUUUAAAAAGAUGAGGAAAUUGAUGUUCAGAAGGGUUAACUGCAUGCAUUACUGAAGCACAUGUAACUCAAGUGGAGUUCAUGGUGUAUUUCUAAAGUAGAUUCAUCAACUAAAUAAGGAUAACUUUCAACUCUAGCCCAGACUCUCCUCUUAGAUGGAAAUCUUAUCCAAUUGCCUUUUAAGUAUCUUCAGUCAGACACGCCGCAGUUACAUUCCACUCAACUUGUCCAAAAAUGAACUUGUCAUCAUGUUCCAAACCUGUUCCUCCCCUUGGGGGUACCCAAUUUUAGUGAAUGGUAUCUCCAAACACCAAGGGAAUCAAGUUACAAUCCCCCCUCUUUCAUGCUUUUCACCACACUGAUGUCCAAUCACUCAUCACUUUCAGGCAAUUUUAUAUUUCAAAUGUCUUCACAAUCUGUUCACUUCCCUCUCCUUCUCUAGGUUACAUCAUAUUUUUCUCUUACUUGGGGUGAUAGGGUUAUCUUCCAACUCUUCCAUACUUCAAACCACGUUGCAAAUCCAAGGGCCUUGCACAUGAAGUCCAAACACUUCCUUUAAAGAGUGGAGAUAAUGGUAUCUGUCUCUAAGUGUCAUUUUAAGGAAAUAAUUAGAUUCUGGAUGUCAAUGCAGAAGGCGUUUACAUUGUUACUUGAGUAAGGCAAGGGAUGCCUUUGAAGAUAACAACUGCUUCUGAUUUAAAUGAUAUUGUGUCCAUUUUAAGUUCAGGGAAAGUGAGGUUCAGAACAGUGAUGAAAUCUGUCCAGGGUCAGGUGAUAAGGGAUACUUCAGAGAUUUUUCCACAAAACUGCCAGACUCCAAAGUUGUGAUCUUUACUAAAUCCUGGGUUCAGUCCUUUGGGAUCUUGGGAAAAAAGGCUGGUUUAGGUUAGCCUGGCUACUCAGAACAGGAUUUGAUACAUAUUUUCCAGGCAUACGAUAUUUAUUUCAUAUUUAUUUCAUCGUGGUACUGCCUUUUCUAAGCCUUGGGUAGUGGAACUGAGAUGAAGUCAUUGGGAGAAUGAGAUGCUUCAUUUACUCACUGGGACUAAUGAGAAUGGUCACCCAGGAAGGACCACUUCAGUUCCACUGCCAGCUCAGACGGGGCACUCUGCUCCAAGCCUUGGGUCUGUGAGCUGCUGGCUGAUGUUUCCCCUGUGCCUCUCAUCCUUUUU
ensembl:lncRNA